AUUGAACGCUGGCGGCAGGCCUAACACAUGCAAGUCGAGCGGAUGAAGGGAGCUUGCUCCUGGAUUCAGCGGCGGACGGGUGAGUAAUGCCUAGGAAUCUGCCUGGUAGUGGGGGAUAACGUCCGGAAACGGGCGCUAAUACCGCAUACGUCCUGAGGGAGAAAGUGGGGGAUCUUCGGACCUCACGCUAUCAGAUGAGCCUAGGUCGGAUUAGCUAGUUGGUGGGGUAAAGGCCUACCAAGGCGACGAUCCGUAACUGGUCUGAGAGGAUGAUCAGUCACACUGGAACUGAGACACGGUCCAGACUCCUGCGGGAGGCAGCAGUGGGGAAUAUUGGACAAUGGGCGAAAGCCUGAUCCAGCCAUGCCGCGUGUGUGAAGAAGGUCUUCAGAUUGUAAAGCACUUUAAGUUGGGAGGAAGGGCAGUAAGUUAAUACCUUGCUGUUUUGACGUUACCAACAGAAUAAGCACCGGCUAACUUCGUG
rnacentral:rRNA from 1 species